CCUUGAACUCACCCUGGUUUGUUUACAUGUAUAACUUUCUCCGACUUUCUCAGACGUGAUUUAUGCCACUUCUUUUUCUGUCUGACUUCGUCCACCAAACUUAUAACUUUGCGCAUGAAUGCACAAAGGCUUCACCACACGUCUGCAUUUGGAUGACUGCAGAGAGCCCUGAAAUGGUGCCGUCGCACAUACUUGCCAACCUUGAGACCUCCGAUUUCGGUCAGGCAUCUAUUUGUGGUGGCGUUGUCGGGCGGCGGCGGCGAUGACCAAGAAGAACGGGGAGUUGGAAUAUAAUUUCAACGCUUUAUGUACAUAUUUAUAUACAUAUUUAUAUAAUAUGUAACUACAAGCUCCA